rnacentral:rRNA from 1 species
UACGGGGGGGGCAAGCGUUGUUCGGAAUUACUGGGCGUAAAGGGCUCGUAGGCGGCCAACUAAGUCGGACGUGAAAUCCCCAGGCUCAACCUGGGAACUGCGUCCGAUACUGGAUGGCUUGAAUCCGGGAGAGGGGUGCAGAAUUCCAGGUGUAGCGGUGAAAUGCGUAGAUAUCUGGAGGAAUACCGGUGGCGAAGGCGGCAUCCUGGACCGGCAUUGACGCUGAGGAGCGAAAGCCAGGGGAGCAAACGGG